UGUGUGUGUUUUGGGAUAAAAACAAACCUGUCUUUUGUUUUAAUACAAUCCCAAUCAUGUUUAUCUACUUCCAGGAGGACUGGUUCUCAAAGCCAAGUAUUAGUAAUAUGCAAGUGCCUUCCCAUGAAAGGGAACUGGGGACCAGGGCAUCAUCAAGUCCAGAGAAUCAUUUAAAUGGAGUCUCAUAUAACCGUUGAUCCAGUUCUAUUGCCUCUGAAGGGCUGUAAUGUCUUGGUACAUAGUACAGUUUUCUCUAUUACCCUAACUGCUACACAGUAGCAGCUUUCAACUGCCAGCUUGACCUGAAAUGCUCUAUAGCUGUCAUACAGACUCAAGUAUUCUCCCUCUAUCCUGAGCAUUUAAACUUGGGGAUGCCUCUGAUACUUUGCUAAAGUAAAUAUUUGACUUAAGCCCCCCAGAUUGACAGAUGCAAAGAUAUUUCAAAGUGACCCAAAAAAAGAUUUCUGAGUCUAUACAAAUAUUUUCUGUUUUCAUAGGCAAUAGGAAAUAACACUUGUUAAGAAUAGUAUUGAUUCUUUUUGGGCAGUCUUAUCGUUAGAAUCUUUUUGUUCAGUUAGAUGAGCAUUUGUGAUCUUGCUUGUGAAUCCUCUGAGCUACAUUUUUUAUAGAUGUAGAUAAUAUAGAAAGAAUGCUGAAUUUGGCUUCUGAGAUCCUGUUGCCUGAGAAUCUCUUGCCACUUAUUACUUAUGUAACCAAAACUUUGCCUCAAUUUUCUUAUCUAUAAAACAUGGUGCUGGACUUGAUGAUUUCUAAGGUCCCCUUCCUACUCUAAAUCUGUGACCCCAUAAUUGUAAUUCACUUCUGUUUUAAGAUUGUGGUCCUUCAGGCACCUGGGAACUCUCUUUUUCUUUUUAUAUAUGAUGAGACAUUAGUCACAUCUGUUCAGUGUGAAAUUCAGAAACCUGAAGGAUUGUCAGCUAAGUUUUGAUUUUCUUUCUAAGGCUGAGACUGCUUGGCAGAGAUUUCUUUUUCCUCUGGGUGUGUCUAAAGAUGGAUGUCCUCUUAAGGACAAUUCCAAUGAGUUACAUACUAGAUGAGAAGUUGAUUAGUCCCAGUUUCAACUCUUAGUUCUGUUUUAACUUCCUUGAGAGACUUGGGACAAAUCACUUUCCCUAUCUGUACCUCAGUGUCCCCAUCUCUUAAAUGGGGAGUAUAAUCCUUCUCUCUCCCUACCUCAUGAAACAUCUCAAUAAACUUCUCUGGUCAGAUUGGCGGUGAUGCUAUGCAAGCAUAUGAUUUUGUUAAAUGUCUUUGACAUCUUAAUCUUUGCCCUCUCUCUCAGUCUUAACCAAGAACCAAUUUCCUCUUUCCCCCUCACUCAUGAGUCCCUAGAUUUAGAUCUAAAGCUAAAGGGAAGAAGAAUGCCAAAAAGAAACAUAUUUGGGUUUUCAAACUUCUUAAAUCCCUCCUCAGUUCUUGAAGCUGGAGCAGUCUAUAGUUUUUCAUGUACUCAGGAGAAGAAAAGAGAUCAUCUAGUAUUUUUCAAGGACAAGGGGCAACUGUGGCUCUCAUAAGUUUGAACUGGAGUAAAACAAAUUCAUAAUUCAGGAACAUGAUGUUGAGAUAAAAGUUGUUUUUUCUGAAACCCUUCUGUCAUGUCUGCUGGCCAUUUAGAGAAGGGAUCAUUAAAGAUAUAGGGGCAAAGGAAUAUUCCUGACAAUGGAUAAAUAUAUGAGUGUAUGUAUAUAUAAUCCUACUCAUAAUCUAUUACAAAACAUUUCCUUUUCAAGACAGUGCACAGAUGAAGUUAAGAGUUUGUGGAAAACUGCUAUUUCAAGGGAUUCCUGUUGUCAUAACAACCUUUCAGCCUGUUUUCAUGUCUUCUGACUGGGAGAGCAAAGGGAAAGAAGAGACUGCAGUUCUGGUUUCUCAAAUAGAGAGACCACAGUAUAUUCUUUUAGGUGCUACUAAUGGCCAGGGCAGGGCAUAUGGCAAUCCUGACAUGGAUCAAAUAAAUCAUCAAACUUUCUUUGAUCCUUCAUUCACCCUGUUUUGCCAGCCCUGACCUUGCAGCUUCCUCAGUCACUUCUAUUUAAUCUUCACUCACCUGUGUGCUUGUCACCUGUUCAAGAAACCAUUGUUAACAUGGACUCCAGAAAGACACAGGGAAGUCCUUGGAAGGAGGAACCUUACUUGGAAAGGAGACUGGUGAGAGGCUUUCUGAUAAGAUGAUUAUAGCUCUUUCCACUCAGAAAAACUGCUCUCAGACCUAAUUGAUAGAAACAAGUAAAUCCUCCUCCCCGUCAAAGAAAUUCCCAGCUGCUAAAGGGAAUUCUUCAUAAACAUGACAUUAAAGAAAAGUUUCAUAUACUAAAAUCUUCGGAGGCCAUGGCUCAAAUCAAGUCUUUGUAAGGUUUAUUAAAUGUAUUCAUCUGAUACUUUUGCCUGCUUACUGGGUCUUUGUUGCUACAGCUGUUGCUGUAGCAGUGGGACAACUCCAUUGGGAAGACCAUGAUGCUCAAGCCAUCUGGUCCCUGAGCAUGGAUUCAACCAAUGCCCUAAUGGAAAUUCUGGGGACUUCCAACAGGAGAUAUCGAGACAUCUCUGUAGAGAGACUUGAGUUCUUUCUGUUUCAUCUCAUAGGAGAGGAGGAACUGAGAGCUGCUGUUUCAUUUAAGGCAAGGUAAAUGUAUAUAUCAUGGCCCCAAGGAAGGAAACACCCACGUUCCUAUAUGGGCUCCUGAGGAGAGACAAGAAGACCUUGGAUGACAAAGUUGAUUUUUUUGUAGCACAUUUCUCCUAUGGUUUUCUAUUAACGGAGUCAAUUCUGCAAGAAAGAGAAACAUGAUGGUGGUGAGAAAUGUGAUAUCUGUUGUCCAUGAUGAUUAGGAUCCAGAAGAAGGAUGUAAUCCAGUGGCUUGGGAUGGAUGUAUCUCUCCAGUUUUAACUUCUCUACCUCCUAAAAAUAUCACAAAGGGGAAGAAACUCCAGACCUCACACAAACUACAUAUUUAGAUGUCUUCCAACCUGUUUACAGUAAGGUUCUCCUGGUUUGCAAACCAAAUGACUCUUUUACUCCAUUGGACAAGACUGUUACUUUUAUGUUCAACUGUUGAUUAUUUGCACUUAUGAAAGCAGGCAGUAGGAUGAUAAGUAAUCCCUAACAACAAAUAAGAUGAAAGUAAUUUCCGUUGGACUUUGGAUAUUUUUAUUGCAGUAUAUUUGCCUUCCAAAUUAGGUUUGCUGAGCUAUAAUUUAUAUUAAUUUAUAAUCCCUGAUGGUUUUAAAAGCUGUGUAACAAUGGAAAAGACAUUUAAAGCUCUCCCUGCACCUCCAUGUCCUCAUCUAUAAAAUGAGGAUAUUGAAGUUUAUACUACUUACCUCAUCAUAUUGUUAUGAAGAAAACUAACAGUAUUUGUAGAGGUGGAGAACUUUGAUUUGGAACACUAUGGAAAUCCUGUCAGACCAAAACUAUCUUGGUUGAUGCUUUGGUUAAUUUUGAAAUACUACUUUUUUUUCCUCCUAUGAUCUUUGUUAUGAGGGAUGACUCACUGAAGAGAGGGGAUGGAUAUAAUUGGAAAUGAAGGUAUUGUAAAAAUAAAAGAUAUUAAUAAAAAGAAAAAUAAAAGUAUAAGAAA